GAUGAACGCUGGCGGCGUGCCUAAUACAUGCAAGUCGAGCGAACAGACGAGGAGCUUGCUCCUCUGACGUUAGCGGCGGACGGGUGAGUAACACGUGGAUAACCUACCUAUAAGACUGGGAUAACUUCGGGAAACCGGAGCUAAUACCGGAUAAUAUAUUGAACCGCAUGGUUCAAUAGUGAAAGACGGUUUUGCUGUCACUUAUAGAUGGAUCCGCGCCGCAUUAGCUAGUUGGUAAGGUAACGGCUUACCAAGGCGACGAUGCGUAGCCGACCUGAGAGGGUGAUCGGCCACACUGGAACUGAGACACGGUCCAGACUCCUACGGGAGGCAGCAGUAGGGAAUCUUCCGCAAUGGGCGAAAGCCUGGCGGAGCAACGCCGCGUGAGUGAUGAAGGUCUUCGGAUCGUAAAACUCUGUUAUUAGGGAAGAACAAAUGUGUAAGUAACUAUGCACGUCUUGACGGUACCUAAUCAGAAAGCCAUGGCUAACUACGUG
rnacentral:rRNA from 1 species